rnacentral:misc_RNA from 1 species
AAAAUUAAUAAAAAAAGAAAAAAAGUCAACAUUUUUUUUGACAGUUGACUUCUAAAAAAUAUAACCCAUAUUGACUUAAUAUUCAUUUUGGAUGAGAUGAAUUUUUGCUCGAGUUGGAUUGUGUUUUCUCUUGUUUGGAAAGGUUAAAGAAAAAGUGAAAAUGAAUUUAGAAUAGUUUGCCAAUUGGGGAGAAAACCAACAGAAACAACUUUUCUUUUAUUAUAAGUAAUAAAGAAAUUCAAAAAAAUUUAGUCAUAACUUUAUUUAGGAUGGCCACAUUUCAAGAACCGUCAGUUACGGUUCCUGAACUAUUGAUUCAGAUUUAAUAAAAUUAUGAACAUGAAUUAAAUUGCUAGGGGAUGAUUUGGAAGAUGGUUUUUGAACUGUCGGUUUUAGUUCAAGCCUCGAUUUAAAACGGUUUGAA